UUUAUUAUGAGAGUUUGAUCCUGGCUCAGGACGAACGCUGGCGGCGUGCCUAAUACAUGCAAGUCGAACGCUUCUUUCCUCCCGAGUGCUUGCACUCAAUUGGAAAGAGGAGUGGCGGACGGGUGAGUAAC
rnacentral:rRNA from 1 species